GACGAACGCUGGCGGCGUGCUUAACACAUGCAAGUCGAGCGAGGCCCUUCCUUCGGGAAGGUGUCCUAGCGGCGAACGGGUGAGUAACACGUGGGCAACCUGCCCUCAGCUCUGGGAUAACCCCGGGAACCGGGGCUAUACCGGAUACGACCUCCACGGGCAUCUGCGGAGGUGGAAAGGUCUUCCGGCUGAGGAUGGGCCCGCGGCCUAUCAGCUAGUUGGUGGGGUGACGGCCCACCAAGGCGACGACGGGUAGCCGGCCUGAGAGGGCGACCGGCCACACUGGGACUGAGACACGGCCCAGACUCCUACGGGAGGGCAGCAGUGGGGAAUAUUGCGCAAUGGGCGAAAGCCUGACGCAGCGACGCCGCGUGAGGGACGAAGGCCUUCGGUUG
rnacentral:rRNA from 1 species